rnacentral:lncRNA from 1 species
AUGAGAGGGAGAGAGAGCGAGAGCACAGCCCCUCCACUAUGGCUUACAACAGUGACGAGGAGCGGUACCGCGGUUACCGGGAGUACCAGGCGGAGCGUGGCUACAGCGGCGGUGGUGACCGCGGAGGAGGUGACCGUGGAGGGGGGGAGCGUGGCGGUGACCGUGGGAGUGGUGGUGAGCGUGGUGGUGGAGGCGGGGAGCGUCACAGAGACAGGUCGAGCCGUGAGAAGGAGGAGAGACACAGAGAGAGAAGACACAGAGAGAAGGAGGAGGGGAGACACAAGUCAUCACGCAGUAGCAGCAGGAGGAGACAUGAUAGUGAAGAAGGAGACGGUCACAGGAGACACAAACACAAGAAGAGCAAGAGGAGCAAGGAGGGCAAGGAACCUAGUGAUGACAUGGGAGGAGACCAGGAGAACCAGGACACCAUGGAGUGAUGAAGAGAACACCCUCCUCUCCCUCUGUAUCUCUCUCUCUCUCUCUCUGUCUACAUGGGAGGAGACCAGGAGAACCAGGACACCAUGGAGUGAUGAAGAGAACACCCUCCUCUCCCUCUGUAUCUCUCUCUCUCUCUCUCUGUCUACAUGGGAGGAGACCAGGAGAACCAGGACACCAUGGAGUGAUGAAGAAAACACCCUCCUCUCCCUCUCCUCAUCUCUCUCCCUCUGUUUCCCUCUAUACGUCCCUCCAUCUUUCUCUCUCUCCUCUCUCCCUCAGAGCACUGUUGUAGUUGAUCAUGCUCAGAGGUCGUUGUUGUUUACCCGUUCCCUUCGUAGUCAUGACGAUCAUAAACAACCCUCAUCUUCUGUCAUUUAUUUUCGUCCCUCUAUUUUCUUAACCAAACACCUCGCUGAAAGAUGUCAAUUUGUUGAAUUAAAAAACAAGCUUUUGAUAACUUCUGUGUGUUGGGUGGUUUCUGUGUGUGUGUGUGUGUGUGUGGCUGGUUGGUGUGUGUGUGUGUGUGUGUGUGUGUGUGUGGCUGGUUGGUGUGUGUGUUGGGUGGUUUCUGUGUAUGGCUGGUUGGUGUGUGUGUGUGUGUGUGUGUGUGUGUGUGGCUGGUUGGUGUGUGUGUUGGGUGGUUUCUGUGUGUGGCUGGUUGGUGUGUGUGUGGCUGGUUGGUGUGUGUGUUGGGUGGUUUCUGUGUGUGGCUGGUUGGUGUGUGUGUGUGGCUGGUUGGUGUGUGUGUGUGUGUGUGGCUGGUUGGUGUGUGUGUUGGGUGGUUUCUGUGUAUGGCUGGUUGGUGUGUGUGUGUGUGUGUGUGUUGGGUGGUUUCUGUGUAUGGCUGGUUGGUGUGUGUGUGUGGCUGGUUGGUGUGUGUGUUGGGUGGUUUCUGUGUAUGGCUGGUUGGUGUGUGUGUGUGGCUGGAGGUGUGUUACUCUACAGUCUACUAUCAGGGUAGUGACCAUGCUGGAGGUGUGUUACUCUACAGUCUACUAUCAGGGUAGUGACCAUGCUGGAGGUGUGUUACUCUACAGUCUACUAUCAGGGUAGUGACCAUGCUGGAGGUAUGUUACUGUACUCUACAGUCUACUAUCAGGGUAGUGACCAUGCUGGAGGUGUGUUACUCUACAGUCUACUAUCAGGGUAGUCACCAUGCUGGAGGUGUGUUACUCUACAGUCUACUAUCAGGGUAGUGACCAUGCUGGAGGUGUGUUAC